AGAAGACAAGAUGGCGCUGGUUACCUCGUGUCAUAUCAAAGGGCAUUUUUGUUCACAAAUACCCGCUUAUUUUACGUUAUAGCGACUGGUUCGUUUUGGAAAUUAUAACUCAAUGGACGGGGAAAAUGAUUCUGUAUUAAAGAGAAAAUGAUGUGCAGUUAUUGUGAUGUUAUUUGUUGUGAAAGACGGCCCGAAAUUUCGCUACUUAGCAGUACUGGUUUAUAAAACAUUUACAAGCAACAGCAAUUGAACUAUAUGACAAAGAAACCAAUGCAUACAAGCCAAUCAAGUUCUUCAGUUUAAAGGUCUGUUUACUUUUUAAUAAUUAGUUCAUUUAGUUGUACAUUAAGGGGUCACGUCCAUAUUCAUGUUGCCACGCAUAGGGUCAUUCCAUUUAUUAUCCGCACCCCCCCUAUGGAUGAGCUCUGGUAAAAAUGUUACCUGUAGGAAUCGGAUUUCAGAGAAGUACCCUGUUGGAAUCGACAGUAUCAAUCUAAACCCUAGGAAUGCUGCUAAUUGCCAAUAUCUCACUGGUAGGAAUCUGCUAAUUGCCAAUAUCUCACCGGUAGGAAUCUGCUAAUUCCCAAUGUCAGACCGGGGGGGGGUGAGGAUAAUAAAUGGAAUGAUUAUGAUUCUCAUAAUAAAUAUUUGGCAAUAUAGUAUGCUACACCUCGACGGCAAUAUCUGACCGGUAGGAAUCGGGCCGAAGGAAUCUGCUAAUUCCUAGCCUGCGAACAGGCCCUGGGUUGCGGGCGGCGCGAAGAAUAGAGGGCCUGCAUGGAUGAUAGGUUUUCUUGGUAGUGGCGUUCGUAUAGAAACGCAGGCUUCUGAUUGGCUUACACUCGUUGACAAAAUUACUAAAAAUAGCAAAUGUCAACAACAGCAUUUUGAAGAAUUUGAACUUUAUUCAUUUUAAUAUUAUAUAUUAUAGGACUAUCGAACAAAUAAAACUAGAAAUGGAAACCAAAAGCAAUAGCAAAGCAUCACAGCAAAAAAGUCUAUCAUAAAUGACUUGAAUCUAUCGCUUAAAUCCAAUAUACGAAACUAUAACAGUAUUCUGAACUUCGUCUUCGGAUUGACAUCAGACUAUAGUAUAGUACAUUUUGAGGUCGUCGUGGCUUCACGGAUUAUUCUCAUUAGUGAGCAAGUCAGCAAGCGAAGGCAUACAAAAGAUACCCAAAUAUGUACGAAUAAUUAUAUUGUCGAUCCUCGCUGGCAUGUCAUUUAGAUAAAUAUAUAUCGUACAUUAAACGUUGUACUGUUUACUGUAUAUUAACUGCUGACAAUUUCGUCGUCGAUACGGCUUCCACUAUUGGCACACUCGUGAUUUCGAAGAAAUUAAUAAAUACAUGCUCAUUUAUCAUUUAUUUAGACCACAGUUAGUAAAAUUUUAAACGUAUUCGGUAUUCCAAAUCCCAAUCUAUCUGACCGUAUUUUAGUAAUAGCUUCAAAAUAUUCAGAACAUUGUUCUUUCAGUCGCACAUAGUACAAGUAUUACUGUACAUUCAAAGCCAAUGGUAGUUUAUUCGGCUUUAUAUUUGUAUGUGUAUUGAUAUCUAUUUAAUAUUUGAAGAAUUCUAUAUUUUUCCGAGUAAUAUAUUGUGCGGCCCGCUAAUGCUUUGUAUUAUUAUUGUUCAUGUUGCACAAUGUACACGCCUUGCGUCAAUUUGACAGUUGACAGUUUAUUUAUCGCAGUCGACGCUGAUUGGUUAGCGUUUAGCAGAUGCGAAAAGGGGAUGAAUGAAUAAAACGCAUGGUUCCGUGCAGGCUCACCUUUCUCCCAGUGAGCCUGUUUGCAGGCUAGCUAAUUCCCAAUAUCUGACCAGUAGGAAUCCCCUAAGUCCUAAUAUCUGACCGGUAGGAAUCCGCUCAUCCAUAGGGGGGGUGCGGAUAAUAAAUGGAAUGACCCAUAGCGUCGAAUCGACGUUAACACUCAAACCCACCCACCCUAAAUAACGUCGAACGUGGCAGUCACAUUCUUCAAAACUUUCACAAAAUUGUCAUUUUGCCACGAGAUUAUCGAUAUAACGUCGAGAGAAUUAAGAUAAACCCACCCACCGUGGACGUGGAUAUGAAUAUGGACGUGACCCCUAAUACGAAGUACUGGAACAGUACGCCUAGUCACAGAAUAGGAAGGUAUACCCAUUGAACUAAAAAUAACGAAUCGAUAUUUUGUCAUGUCAACAGCUUCAACUGGAUUUAGGACUAUUUUUCUCGCGUUUCCUUCGGUGAAAGUUUUUUAAACUUUGCACGUUUGCUAAGCAUGAUGAUUCGCCAAACAUAUCAAAAUUUCAAGAAAUUCUAUAAGACAGAUUUUUUGUAGUCGUUAUUCAUGAAUAUCUCAAAACCGGCCUUAUAAACAUCCCUUCAAAUUUUAAUAUGUCAUUCCCCUUUCAACCAUAAAUCUUAAAAAAAAAUUCAGAAAAAUUGACCGAAGGAAAAAAAAGAUAUUGCCGUUUGAUUGUAAAAUUAGACAAUAAAAGUGCAAAAGAUGAAACGUCAUGAUUGCCAUGGCAACACUAACACUGUUCCUAUUUGUUCAUUUUUCGACAGCAGAAGACUUCUGAACUUUCCUGGAAAUGAUUAUAUUGCCCUGUCUUACAGUCAAUUUCAGCUGACUUUUCAUCGUAAGAUUCCGAACUUCGUUCCGAACUUCGCAAAUUCAUUGCCAAGUUCAAAAGUUCAUAAUGAAAUUCACAAACAGGUUUGUAAACAAAGCCUCUGAUUGGCUAUUAAAUCAAACCAGCCAAUCAAAUGCCCAGUUUACAAACCUGUUUGCGAAUUUCAUUAUGAACUUUUGAACUUGGCAACGAAUUUGCGAAGUUCGGAACAAAGUUCGGAAUCUUACGAUGAAAAGUCAGCUGAAUUUGACUGUAAGUGUUUUCAAUAUAAAUUUGGUUCAAAACGAAGGCUACCUAAAAUACUUAAAAUUUUAGAAAACUGUAGGGAGCCACCUUAAAAGGAUUCUCCUCAACUUCCUUGUGGCGAUUUUUGAUUAAUUGCGUGAUUGCGAAGAUAUGGGCACAGAAUAAAGACAUACAGAAGUGUAACUUCCAUUACAAAACCGUAAGGCCUUUUUUACCGAAAUAGCUGGCGGCCAUGUUCUUAGCAAGUGCCCUAAAGAGAGGCAUUCACCCCCCUGGAAUAUUAAAUUUUCAAUAUGUUUUCAGGGGGGUGACUGCCUCUCUUUAGGGCACUUGCUAAGAACAUGGCGGACUGAAAAAAUCUCUUACGCUCUUUUAAUAAGAAGAUACACUUCUGUAUGUCUUUAUUCUGUGAUAUGGGUCUUCAAACUUUGCCUUGCGCAAGCUUAAAUACCACCCCUCGAAUUUGUAGGUUCCGAACGGAUUAGCGUUUUUAAAAGCCUUUCAAAUCGAGGUUUGAGAGGUUUUAUUUUUUAAAAGAUACUUUUAUCUUCAUAUUUUCACAUUAACUUAUUAAUAUCCUGUGUAACAAGUAAACAGGACACUUCCGGGCCGGGACAAGUUGACAUGUCGAUUUCUUGCUAAACAGCGUGGCGAUCAAUAUAGCGAAUACCUAAAUACAGGGAAUUUUUAAAAUUUGUUGGUAUAAAUGGGAUAAAGAAACUCAUCAAAUAUUUGGACUAUGGACCUUCAAACUUAUGCCAAGUAUUUAUUUGAUUGAUUAGCUCAAUAAGUGUUUUUUGGCCAGUUUUUCGUCGAUUUCGACAUUUAGUCGAGCUUAGUCGACUUCAGAAUAAUGUGUCAACAUUGCGUGUUGCAGCCUGUGGACAUGAAUAUUUUCGUUUGUUUGACCAUAACACUUUUCUUCAUUGUUUUUAAUCCUUGAAUGACAAUAUAUUCAUUGGUCUCAGAGUCGUAAAGUUAAGGAAGAUGGAUGACUUUGGGACAGAUAUCAAAAUUUUGUUCAGAUAUCAAAAUUUAUGGACAUAUAGUCACAGUGACUAAGUCACUUAUAGAAGUCACAAAUGGGGCCUGUUCUUAUGACCUAGCUAGGCAGGAGACAACAUUUGCCACUAUUGCCGAUAUACUAUCCUGCUACUAUCCUGGCUAUAAGCACAAUGUAUCUGUUGCCAGAAUCCCAACUAUGCAAGCCAAGAAAUUCACCAUUUACAGUAAACAUUCUAUCCCACAACCAGGCAACAUGAACUUGCCUUUAGGGUCCCAUGCUGCCUAGCCCAGAUCAUAUCAACAGACCCUUAGCAGAUCCUGAAACUACAAUUGGAACAUUUUAGGCCAUAAUCUUGUAGAAUCAACCAGGCAUUGUUAGUAGUAUAAUAUCACUCUUGCCCAUAUAUAUGGGCUAAAUAUACACCUGCCCAUGGUAAGAUACUGCCUCGUAUAUUAAUUUUAUAUAUGUUUGAGAUUGCAUUCACAUGAAACAGCCUGGUUGAAUUUAUUGGCCCAGCAUCUGCUUGAGCAAGUUGAUAUCCUGCAUUGGGAGUCUCACACUAAUAAAGGUCAUAAGCUGGCCAACCAGCUCACUCGACUAAAAAUCAUGUUAUAAUACACAAUUUGGCCCAAGUAAGUAAGAACUUGAUUAAUAUAAGCCUUCUGAAGCUGUUGUCUUAACAAAUUAACCAGCAUUUCACACAAAUUUCUUGACAACAGUUGCCAGGUUAGCCUGGCUCCUGUGAGGCAAAUGACAAACUAGCCCUGAAAAGAAAAUCCAGCCAUGUUUGCUGGGCUAGCAUGGCCCAUUUUGACAGCCCUUAACAGGCAGAGCUUAUUUUUGGAAGGGAGAUCUGAUUUUUGGAAGGGAGACCUAUUUGUGAGGUUACUGGGGGCUUAAUAUUAGAUUGCAUUAUAUAAUAUGUGUAAAAUAUUCAUUUGUGCACAGGUAUUGUGGUAAUGCACAAAUUUAUGGACUAAAUAUACAGGUAUGUCCAUAAAUUUUGAUACCUGAACAGCAACAUUGAACAAAAUCAUUCUGUCCCAAUGUCAUCCAUCUUCCUUAAGUUUAGGACUCUGAGACCAAUGAAUAUAUUGUCAAUCAAGGAUUAAAACCAAUGAAGACAAGUGUUAUUGUCAAACAAACGAAAAUAUUUAUGUCCACAGGCUGCAACAUGCAAUGUUGACACAUUAUCCUGAAGUCAACAAAAUGUGGAAAUCGACGAAAAACGACCCAAGAAACAGUUAUUGAGCUAAUCAAUCAAAUAAAUACUUGGCAAAAGUUCGAAGGUCCAUAGUCCAAAUAUUUGAUGAGUUUCUUUAGCCCAUUUAUACCAACAAAAUUUUAAAAAUUCCCUGUAUUUAGAUAUUUACCAUAUUGAUCGCCACGCUGUUUGGCAAGAAAUCGACAUGUCAACUUGUCCCGGCCCGGAAGUGUCCUGUUUACUUGUUACACAGGAUAUUAAUAAGUUAAUGUGAAAAUAUGAAGAUAAAAGUAUCUUUUAAAAAAUAAAACCUCUCAAACCUCGACUGUGGGACAACUAUAUAAUAGUUUUGUUUGUGGAAACACCACAUAAAUUUAUUACUGCAAACCUUUCGAUCCAUAAGCCCGGAUCUUCAUCAGUGCUAAUAUGUGACUUGUUUAAUUCACACACCCUUUUUAUAUACAAAAAAUGUCUUGAUCUGUUGGCUCGCAUAUUAUUAGCACUGAUGAAGAUCUGGGCUUACAGAUCGAAAGCUUGGCAGUAAUAAAUUUACGUGGUGUUUCCACAAACAAAACUAUUAUAUGUUUUAUCGCCAUGCAAACAUACAAAGAACUUAUUGUGGGACAACUUUUUUACUGAAGUUAUACAUCUGUCUUAACUUAAUCUGUGGUCCCCCUUUGCAUUUGACCCAAAUGUUUUGGUCAUUUUAUAUUUGCCAAUAUAAAUCUUUUUGGCAUAGAAAUUAUACAUUUGGAAUAAUAAUUUUGUAUGCUGCAUUCAAUCUAUUCUCCAUUCAGGGAGAUUCUUUUGUAAAUACCCACACCAAUCAGAAGUCUGUAUUUUUAUGCUAAAACAGAAAUUGGCAUCCCAGAGAGUAAAUUAUAUUCAAGUUUAGGGCAUGUUGCAGCUCUAUAUCUUGCCGUUGCAAGUUGCUUUGCGUUUGAUGUUUGUUCUGGGAUAAAAUAUUGAAUUAUACCUUAAAUUAAUGUUUUGUGAAGUUUAGUUUAAAUAAUUUAGUAGAGAGAUGAGUGCAUAAAGCAUAGGGAUUUUGAAGCUAAAUAUGUUAUAAAAUUUGUCAUUUUAGUGAAUGCAUUCUUUUCUGCUCGUCCUGGUUGUUGCAAGGAGACAUCAGGCAUUGUAAUGGAUGGAUGACGAUGUGUCGCUGGCAAACCUACACCGUGUGCAUUUUCUUGGUGGAUAUCUUGGGCAAAUGUGCAAUAUGACGAGGGAUAUCUUGGGCAAAUAUCUUAUAUAAAUUGGUACGAUUGGUUACCUUAAAUUACUAAAGAAGGAUGAUGUUGUAAGGUUAGUGGAUAUUUAUAAUAGUGAUAAAAUGG